GGCCUGGCCGACUACUCACCGCUCAGCCUCACUGUUGUCUGCUCACGAGCAGUCUGGGGAGUUUGCCGUAUUCUGAGUCACGGCUUGGUGGUUCUCUUUUGCUCCAUUCCACACACGUUCUGUUCAAGGAAAGUCAGGCUCCGGCUCUCCACUAGUUUAAACCAUUUGCUCCUUUAAAGAACAUACUUUCUCUGUACCCUUGUCGGCUAAUAGUGGUACUUUCCAUGGUGACUUACUAUUGUUUUUAUUUCCUGCGUCUUGCAGGAGACCCAGCACAAUUUCUAACUUGUCAUUUCUUUUCGUGCUGCUGUUACCAGCUUUUAAUAUGGAGGCUGGAGGUUGCCAGUUUCCCCAUUUUGCUUUGAGUUUGGUCUAGUUCUACAUGGUUGGUAGAGAAGAUGGGCUGGGGGCAACAGUACAAUCAAAUAUUUAAAAACCACCGUGUUCUUAAAAGCGCAUGCCUCUUUCCAUAUACAUACUUCAUUCUGGACCUUGGGAAGAUGUCUUGCAGAGACAUUAUUUUUAGGAGACCCAGGUUCCAUCCCUGGGCAGGGAAGAUUCCCUGGAGAAGGAACCGGCAACCCCUUCCAGUGUUCUUGCCUGGAGAAUCUCAUGGACAGGAGUCUGGCGGCCUGCAGUCAACAGGGUGGCAAGAGUUGGACAUGACUUAGCCGCUAAACCCCCACCAGCAAGCGCGGCUGUGGAGACCCGUUUUCGGAACACGGAGUCCCUGUCAAAACUCAGGUGUCGUGUUCGCUGGCGGCCCUUCCACAGGCGGCCCUUGAAGGAAGAGGCUCGCUUCCCUGGUUUCUAAGAAAAGGCCCGAGAAGCCGGGGUGCGCCCGCAGCUCUCCGAGGUGGAUGUGGUUUUCCGUGAGAAAAUGGCUUGUUCGGUCCACAGCGGCGUUCACGCAGCUUUCCGUCAGACGUUCGCUGGACUCCGAGUCCUUCACGCGCGCUUCCUAUUUUAGCAAGUAGGGUGCCGGACAGAGGUACUUGAGUCCACGUCUGAUAAGAUUGAUCGUCCCUCCUGUUUCAUCAGAGACAGUCUUGGCCGAGAUGGGCCCUCUUUAGGCGUGACUGCCGCAGGGACGGGACUGUUGUCAGCGCGGUGUUCCCGCGGGAAGCUCGAACUGCCUGCGUGCCGGCCGCCGCUGCGAGGCUCCAGCGCCUGCGGAUCCAGGAGAGCGUCCGACCUCAUCGCGGACCUGAGAGGGGCCAGGGCCUCCUGGGUUAGUGUGAGCGGCUGCCUGGAACACUUGGCCUCCCCUUCCAAGAGUGAGCUCGGCAUGGGGCCAGCGACUGAUCCUCAGAGGGCUUUCUCCUGCUGUUUGGCUGUGCUCCCCCUUAGCGUCACUGUCUCUCCUGAGAGAGACAGACCGCACAGAUUAGUGUUUGCAUUCUAAGAUCCGCCAUGCACAACGUGGGAUUUUAAUACUUACAAAUAGUAUGUGAGCAUACUACUUUUAAAAUUGCAUAUGGCAAAAACAAAAUAUGAGGAUAUUGAAUAUAUGUUAAAGAUUACCAACACUUAGGAUUAAUUUAUCUACUCAGUGGCAACUUUUUGUAGCAGAUAUGUUGUGUGGUUCUUUCAUGGUGAUGUGUAAGUUCAUUUGAAGCUUUGGUGACCAUUUUCUUUUUAUAGGUAGUACUACUAAAUUAUUUUGAUGGAGCACUGUUUUUAACCACAUAAUGAGACAUAUUUAUUAAUAGACAUGUUGUUUUAAUUUGCCAGAGUAAUACAAUACAGAUUUGAAACCUGAGUUGCUGAAUAAGUGAGCCUGUGAACGGUUCCUUUGUAGAGGAGCUGGGCUUGUCUUACUCAGAGGCGGGUUCUGCCCAGAGCACCGUGGACAGUGUCUUCACCAUGGUUCAUGUUGAGGACCUCAAGUGUUUUGAAAUAUGUUUUUAAUUCUGUUUUGGCAAAGGUGGCCUUGUAGACUUCAUAGAAUAAUUCAUGUGCUUUUAUGCCAAACUUGACUUCAGUUUUUAAAGAUAAUUUUUUAUAACCUUCAUUAAAUUGUUAUUUUGGAAAUGUCAAGAAUGGCAAAAUUAAGGCCAGUGAAUCUGGAAAGGCACUAAAGAAAUUUGUGAUGUUUUAUGGUUUAUUUUUGAAGUAUAUUCUUGAAAAUGUUAUUAGACAUGAAGGAGUUAAGGCAUUUGCUUUCUUUGUAUUAUGAAAAUUAUAUGUUUCUUUUGAAUAUUUGGGAAGUGUUUGAAGUAUACGUACUUAGUUAUUAAUUACUUGCAUUUUUAACCCAGUACUGGAUCAUUUGUUAUUAAUCAUGUUAUUAAGUUAACAGUUUUUGUCAGGAAUCCAGUCUUUAAAAGCUUUGUAGGUUAUCCUGAUGAUAGCUGUGAUCCUUAGCAUUCUGUGGGUGUGUAGUGUCUACACUUGACAUGAGUGUGAGUCCAUUGCCUGUGUCAUCUUCCUUAGUUUUCAGAGCAGUCCCGUAGGUGGGUCGACAGCUGGUAAGCUGGGGGCAGUGAUCUGCCCAGGUCGCGUGGUUCUGGAACAGAGCCUUCCUGUAACACAGCACUGUGGACUCUGAAGGUUUAAGAUCACUGCAACAAAAACAGUGUUUGCAGGUUUUAUAGAAAAAUAAUUUAUAAAUAGAACAACUUAGAGCAUAAUUUUAAGGAAUAACCAGAGGCAUGAUAUAAUGAAACGUUACAUGUAUAUGUAUAUAUAUCUUCUAUUAGGUUGGUACAAAAGUAAUUGCAAUUUUGCAUUGAGUUUUAAGUGAUUAUGAUUAGGCUCAAAUGCAUCUUUAUUAACCAAAAUAGGAACCAUUACAAUCAACACAUUUUUGCCAGUGAGAAAUAAAUUUGUUCCUGUAGCAUAAAAAUCCAUGCUUCGGGAUUUGCUGAACUCUUGGAAAGCAUUUUCUGCCUCCUGCUGGUUGUGGAAGCAUUUUCCCUGCAAAACUUUGUUGGGACGCUUGAGGAAGUGGCAGCCGGUUGGUGAGAGGUCAGAUGAACGUGGCAGAUGGGGCAACACUCGGCAGCCCAGUUUGUUCAGCUCUUGAAGUGUUGGUUGUGCAGCGUAUGGUCGAGCGUCGCCCCACGUGGAGGAGAACUGGGCCCUUCUGAUGACCAGUGCUGCCUGCAGGCGUUGGCGGUUUUCGCUGCAUCUCAUCGAUUUGCUGAGCAUACUUCUCAGAUGUAGUGGUUUCGCCAGCGUUCAGAAGGCUGUAGUGGGUCAGACCCUCAAACAUGACCAUGACUUUUUUGGUAACGUUAGGCUUUGGGAAGUGCUUUGGAGUUUGUUGUCAGUCCAGCCACUGAGCUGGUCGUCGCCAGCUUUUCGUCACAUGUCACAAUGCGGUCAAGAACCGGUUCAUUGUUGUUGCACAGAAGAGAAGACAGCACUUUAAAAUGACAGGUUUUUUUGGUCCACUCCCGAGGCACCCACUUAUCAAGCUUUUCCACUUUUCCAGUUUGCCUCAAAUGCUGAGUGACUGUAGAGUGGUCGACCUUGAGUUCUCCGGCAGCUUCCCUUGUAGUCGUAAGAGGAUCCGCUUCGAUGGUUGCGGUUAAUUAGUCGUUGUCAACUUCCGAUGGCUGGCCACUAUGCCCCUCGUCUUCAGGGCCCUUGUCGCCUUUGCAAACCUUGAACCCCCACUGCACUGCAUGUUCGUUAGCGGUUCCUGCCCAAAAGUGUGGAUGCUGCGAGUCGUCUCCGUUGCUUUGCGACUCAUUUUGAACUUGAAUAAAAAAAUCGCUUGAAUUUGAUUUUUGUCUAACAUCAUUUCUGUAGUCUAAAAUAAAUAUAAAAUAAACAGCAGGUAAUAAGUCAUUGGCAAAAAAAAAAAAAUGUGCGUUGAGAUGAUGUAUAACAUAACCACACUUAAGAAUGUAUUCCAGUCUCAGAAAAGUUCAACAGCGCAACUCCACAGCUCACUUUUGCACCAACCUGAACAUAAACAUGAGUAUAUAGACUGGAAGGCCUUGCUGUGUCUUAUCUUCAGACGGGUGAGUGUGCUGUGUGGUCAGCGUGGAGUGGCCGCCCUUCUCUUCUCGCUGUCUGCAGAUGUGGACAGCUUGUGUCUCGCACGGUCACCAGCAGCUGGAGUGUGAAGCGUGUCCGAGAUGGAGCACAGGUGGCCUGCCCUCCCCGAGGCCGGGGUCCUGCCGCGUGGAGACCCUGCUCCGGCCGCAGGGCUCGGCCGGGGUCCAGCGUC